rnacentral:rRNA from 1 species
UAACAAGGAUUCCCCUAGUAACUGCGAGUGAAGCGGGAAAAGCUCAAAUUUAAAAUCUGACGGUUUUGCCGUCCGAGUUGUAAUCUGGAGAAGCGUUUUCCGCGUCGGACCGUGUACAAGUCUCUUGGAACAGAGCGUCAUAGAGGGUGAGAAUCCCGUCCAUGGCACGGACCGCCGAUGCUUUGUGAUACGCUCUCGAAGAGUCGAGUUGUUUGGGAAUGCAGCUCAAAAUGGGUGGUAAAUUCCAUCUAAAGCUAAAUAUUGGCGAGAGACCGAUAGCGAACAAGUACCGUGAGGGAAAGAUGAAAAGCACUUUGGAAAGAGAGUUAAACAGUACGUGAAAUUGUUGAAAGGGAAACGCUUGGAGUCAGUCGCGUCUUCCGGGACUCAGCCUUGCUUCUGCUUGGUGUAUUUCCCGUUGGACGGGUCAACAUCGAUUUUGGUCGGUGGAUAAUGGUUGCAGGAAUGUGGCACCUUCGGGUGUGUUAUAGCCUGCUUCCGCAUACAUCGACUGGGAUCGAGGACCGCAGCGCGCCUUUAUGGCCGGGGGUUCGCCCCACGUAACGCGCUUAGGAUGUUGGCAUAAUGGCUUUAAGCGAC